UUGGACUGCUUAGGUAUGGCGAUAAUCAAUGGGACUCAAUACUAAGAAGUGAAAAUCGUAUUUCAUUGAGCAUUACCAUGCUCACUGUCGUACUCACGCCACUUGUACUUGAGAAGCACGCCAGUUUACACGUCAUUCAGGACCAAGCCAACUACACGUUCAGUCAUGUACGAUGCUACUUAUCUAACUAUUUACCUUAAAAGGCAAUAAUUUUAGUACACAGUGUAAACAUCCAUACAGGAACAUCCAGGCUCUCCACUGUGAACGAUCUCGAACCCAGUUUGAAGUGAGUGAGAAGACAUGAAUCAAAAACCUACUGUAUCCAGCUGGUCUUCUCCAGCGGUCUGCAGAUGCAUUCUACAUGUACACGUAGUUCUUGAAGUGAAUGGCUUGAACCAGGCUACAGCAUUGUCGAAUGUCGUGCCCAGGGUCCAAGUCUAGUCCGCGGUCGAGGUACUACCGGUAGUACUUCAGUACUACUACUACUAGUAGUAUCGCCCCUGUACCCAGUCCUCGUUCAGUUCUGUUCUGGCUGUGUUAGAAAAUAUUUCAGGUCUUCAGUUUCUUCGUUCUGCAAUACCAGAAUCCUCGUAUUACGCUCUGUACCGUACGGUAUCGACGUGUUUCACUAUGCUGCGAAUAUACCGACCAGGAAGGCAAAGCGUGGAGUUGUAUUGGCGGUCGCUUGCCUGGAUGUCCUUUAUUGCUGCAGACUUGGUUCUACUUCUUCAGUGGUAUUUCCUGUGGUUCAAUGUCGACUGGACGAUUAACGAAUCUCGAAUUCGCAAGUUCCAAUUUGCAACGUGGACAGUAGUUUCUGUUCAAAUAAUUUUAUUAUUGCUGCAAAUGCUCCGAUCCAUAAUCGAGUCUUUACUAGAUGAAGUGAUAACCGUUUCCGUAUACAGGAAGUUCAAAGCCAAUGUUUCAACGACGAAAUCGACGGAAGGCAAGAGGCCUGCCGAAUCCUUCGUGUUGCGCGUCUAACAACUUGGAACGUCAAGCAAGAAGACUGGCUACCGAAAGAAACAUCCCUUCAAGGGCUUUACCACCCGCGAGAAGGUCUGAUAAGUUGCCCAGUUUCAGCCGUUGGUGAUGCACCAAAGACCGACAGAGGAGGGUUUGUUGUAGAGAUGUACAAUACGUCUUGCCGUGUACAGAAUGGAACGUUGAAACUGCCUUCAUUCUAAAUAAUUAUGUUCAGCCACAAAAAGGUGCAACAAUUCUCAUCAUUUCUUUUGGAAACAUUUCAAUCAUGCCAUCUACUACUACACGACUGUACACAAAAUAAUAAACCGGGUAUUUUCAAUACCA